AUUCUUACCUGACAGGGGAGAUACUAUGAUCAUGAAGGUGGUUUUCCGAGGUUGAUGCUCAUUCAUUGCACUCCGGGUGUGCUGACCCCUGUGAUUUCCCAAAUCCUGGAAAUUCUACCUCUUUAUUUUUUUUAUAGUCAACUUUUCUACCAAGGAGCUUGUAC